rnacentral:rRNA from 1 species
CCUACGGGAGGCAGCAGUGGGGAAUAUUGGGCAAUGGGCGCAAGCCUGACCCAGCAACGCCGCGUGAAGGAAGAAGGCUUUCGGGUUGUAAACUUCUUUUCUCAGGGACGAAGAAAGUGACGGUACCUGAGGAAUAAGCCACGGCUAACUACGUGCCAGCAGCCGCGGUAAUACGGAGGGGGCAAGCGUUAUCCGGUUUUAUUGGGUGUAAAGGGGGUGGAGGGGGGAGUGCAAGUCAGAUGUGAAAACUCAGGGCUCAACCCUGAGCCUGCAUUUGAAACUGUGUUUCUUGAGUGCUGGAGAGGCAGUCGGAAUUCCGAGUGUAGCGGUGAAAUGCGUAGAUAUACGGAGGAACACCAGUGGCGAAGGCGGAUUGCUGGACAGUAACUGACGCUGAGGCGCGAAAGCGUGGGGAGCAAACAGGAUUAGAUACCCCUGUAGUC